AUGCUCACCUCAGCAGCAUAUACUAAAAUUGGAACGAUCCAGAGAGGAUGAGCAUGGCCCUUGCACAAGGAUGACAUGUGAAUUUGUGAAGCCCUCCAUAUCUUA
ensembl:snRNA U6 U6 spliceosomal RNA